GAACGUAGAAGAUCUAAUCGUUAUAAUAUAUUAGUAUUUAAUUAAAGAUAAUGUUACAUAUAUUAUAUCAUUAAUGUCGAUUAGGGGUGAAACGCUUCCAAUUCUUACAUAUCUGGAUUUAUAUUAAAUAUAUUAAGUAUAGGGUUAGUUUCUCAAAUUUGAAAUUUUAAGAUUUCAAAUAGCUGGUUAAAUUUUUUUAUAAUAAAAUAUAUAAGUGCUAAUCCUCUUAUAGAUAAAUAUAUUAUAAUUAAUAUGUAAUUAUUUAAUAGGUGUAAUAUAAUGGUUUUUAAAAUUUAAUAAGAAGUUAAUAAUGUUUAGAUCAGUAAUUUCUAAUAAAUUAUUAAAAGGAACUCGGCAAAUUACUUUUUCGUCUGUUUAUCAAAAACAUAGCUUAAUGAGAAUAUUAUUUUAAGUGAUUUCUGCCCAGUGAAUUAUUAAACGGCCGCAGUACCUUGACUGUGCUAAGGUAGCAUAAUAAAUUGGCUUUUAAUUGGAGUCUAGAAUCAACGGAAUGUCGGAAAAUUACUGUCUCUUUAUAAUUAAUUCUAAGUUAAUAAUAAGGUGAAAAUGCCUUAGAUAAAUUUUAUAGACAAGAAGACCCUAAGAAUUUUUAUAAUAUAGGUUAAUAAUAACUUAAUAAUUUUUGUUGGGGCGACAGGAUUACAGAUAACUAAUCUUAUAAAUUAUAAACUAGACAGUUUUUAAAUAGUUAGAUAAAAUUACCUUAGGGAUAACAGCAUAAUAUAGUUUUGUUUGUGACCUCGAUGUUGGAUUAGGGAAAUUAAUAGCUAGCAGUUAUUAAAUUUAGUUCUGUUCGAACUGCUUUACCUACAUGAUCUGAGUUCAGACCGGCGUAAGCCAGGUCAG
rnacentral:rRNA from 1 species